UUGAAUAACUCUCUACAAUAUCUUACAGAUACUAAUGCACCUACUAGCUUUUCUAAUUAUGUCUUCCUCUCAUCCUAUUAUUUUCUUCCUUUCUCAUCAACCUAUCACAUUUAACAGAGUAAAGAUGGCACAUAAGUUGUUUUGAAAGAAGACUCUCCAUUAGUCAAGAGAGGAUGUCACCCUGGAAUUGAGAAGAAACGCACAUAAAGACAGGAAGACAACGAGGGGAAGUGGCACUAAACAAAGAAGAAGGAUGUGACUGGUGUAAUGAACCCAUAUAACAUACCUGAGUAACUGAAGAGAAUGAACUUUUCAACACACCAACGACAUACAGAUGUGACAGUCCCCUCGCAGAUUGUUUUGUUCUUGUCUUUGUUGUUUAAUAAGGUCAUUUAGCUGUAGAGGGAGGAUUCUCACUGCAAAAUAGUAUCUGACAUUUAGAGACCAAUGAUUUCUGUAGAGCCACACAUACCGUGUACAAAAACGUUUUCACCUCACUUCAGUGGGAUGGGAACUCAGUUUGAAGACCAUAAAAGCUGCUUUGGUGUACAUUGGCACACUGAUCUCUUAUUUUGAAUGACACCUUUCUCUUUCUGUGAAAUGUAUCCGAUUUAUGUUUUUGAUUUCAAGUAGAAUAAUCCAUCAUUCAAUAAAAUUAUUGUUAA